rnacentral:rRNA from 1 species
UACAGAGGGGGCAAGCGUUAUUCGGAAUUAUUGGGCGUAAAGGGCGCGUAGGCGGCCUGACAAGUGGAAGGUGAAAUCCCUCGGCUUAACCGAGGAACUGCCCUCCAAACUGUUUGGCUUGAGACCGGGAGAGGUGAGUGGAAUUCCCAGUGUAGCGGUGAAAAUGCGUAGAUAUUGGGAGGAACACCAGUGGCGAAGGCGGCUCACUGGACCGGUACUGACGCUGAGGCGCGAAAAGCGUGGGGGAGCAAACGGG